CAGAGUUCGUGCCCUUCGGGGUAGACCUCCCACCCUUUGUAUACUUACUCUUGUUGCUUCGGCGGCCCGCCGCAAGGCCCUCGGCUUCGGCUGGGGCGUGGCCGCCGGAGGACCCCAAACCCUGAAUUACAGUGUCGUCCGAGUACUAUAUAAUAGUUA
rnacentral:misc_RNA from 1 species